UUUCCUCAUUGUAGCGGCAGAGAGGGGGGGGAGGAUAUAUCCAGUCUCUGAUAGUGUUACGUUAUUAUGAAAGUGCUCUGUUUGAUUCAAUUGAAAUUGUAUAUUUAUGU